rnacentral:misc_RNA from 1 species
AAGUCGUAACAAGGUUUCCGUAGGUGAACCUGCGGAAGGAUCAUUAUAAAAUGCUUUUAAAAAGCACCCACCUUUUGUGCACUAGACCAUUUUGUAACUUUGGUGUGGUUUUCGAAAAUAUUUUUAUUAAUAUUUUUGAACUUCUUUCACUAUUAAUUUUAUAUAAAAUUUAUAUGUAUUUCAUUAGAUUUAUGUAUAUAAUUUUGUAUAGUUUUAUUUAGUGUCUAGAAGCGUGCCCACCAGAGGUUUAUAAUAAACAAACACUUUUCUAAAAUAACUUUGUCUGAUAAAUCUUAUUUCUUUUAUGAAAUAAAAAUCUUAAUUAAAAACAACUUUUAACAACGGAUCUCUUGGCUCUCC